AUGCCGGAUGCUCCAGUUGAUCGCAUGGUCUUCUGGGAAAGCUUUCGCGGUAUGGGAUGGGGUCGCGUCCUAUCAGCUUGACGGCGGGGUAACGGCCCACCGUGGCUUCGACGGGUAGCCGGCCUGAGAGGGCGACCGGCCACAUUGGGACUGAGAUACGGCCCAGACUCCUACGGGAGGCAGCAGUGGGGAAUAUUGCACAAUGGGCGCAAGCCUGAUGCAGCGACGCCGCGUGAGGGAUGGAGGCCUUCGGGUUGUAAACCUCUUUUAUCGGGGAGCAAGCGAGAGUGAGUUUACCCGUUGAAUAAGCACCGGCUAACUACGUGCCAGCAGCCGCGGUAAUACGUAGGGUGCAAGCGUUAUCCGGAAUUAUUGGGCGUAAAGGGCUCGUAGGCGGUUCGUCGCGUCCGGUGUGAAAGUCCAUCGCUUAACGGUGGAUCCGCGCCGGGUACGGGCGGGCUUGAGUGCGGUAGGGGAGACUGGAAUUCCCGGUGUAACGGUGGAAUGUGUAGAU
rnacentral:rRNA from 1 species